GUCGGGAACAGGUACCGGCUGGGCCGGAAGAUCGGCAGCGGCUCCUUCGGAGACAUCUAUCUCGGUACGGACAUUGCUGCAGGAGAAGAGGUUGCCAUCAAGCUUGAAUGUGUCAAAACCAAACACCCUCAGCUCCACAUUGAGAGCAAAAUCUACAAGAUGAUGCAGGGAGGAGAUCAGUCGCAUCGAAUACAUUCAUUCAAAGAACUUCAUCCACCGGGAUGUGAAGCCAGACAACUUCCUCAUGGGCCUGGGGAAGAAGGGCAACCUGGUGUACAUCAUCGACUUCGGGCUGGCCAAGAAGUACCGGGACGCACGCACCCACCAGCACAUCCCCUAUCGUGAGAACAAGAACCUCACGGGGACGGCGCGGUACGCCUCCAUCAACACGCACCUUGGAAUUGAACAAUCCCGAAGAGAUGACUUGGAGUCUCUGGGCUACGUGCUAAUGUACUUCAACCUGGGCUCUCUCCCCUGGCAGGGGCUGAAGGCCGCCACCAAGAGACAGAAAUAUGAAAGGAUUAGCGAGAAGAAAAUGUCCACCCCCAUCGAAGUGCUGUGUAAAGGCUACCCUUCUGAAUUUGCCACAUACCUGAAUUUCUGCCGUUCCUUGCGUUUUGACGACAAGCCUGACUACUCGUACCUGAGGCAGCUUUUCCGGAAUCUGUUCCAUCGCCAGGGCUUCUCUUAUGACUACGUGUUCGACUGGAACAUGCUCAAAUUUGGUGCCAGCCGGGCCGCUGACGAUGCUGAGCGGGAGCGCAGGGACCGAGAGGAGCGGCUGAGACACUCGCGGAACCCGGCUACCCGCGGCCUCCCUUCCACAGCCUCCGGCCGCCUGCGGGGGACGCAGGAAGUGGCUCCCCCCACACCCCUCACCCCUACCUCACACACGGCUAACACCUCCCCCCGGCCUGUCUCGGGCAUGGAGAGAGAGCGGAAAGUGAGUAUGCGGUUGCACCGCGGGGCCCCCGUCAACAUCUCCUCGUCCGACCUCACAGGCCGACAAGAUACCUCUCGCAUGUCCACCUCACAGGUAGGUGCAGAGCUCCCGGGCGGGCGCUGGGCCUCGGGCUACCUCGUCCGAGUCAAGAGCGGGCUGUGGUUUCUCCAGGGCUUCUUCUUAACUUUCUUCCCCCCAUUUUUGAGAGUUUUUAGUCUCGCCAGGGUGUGGCAUCUUGGUUGCAGAUGAGGCUUCUCGGGAGGGCCUGGGAGACAUGCUGGGCCGUCAUGGGGCUUGUCUCCUGGUCGCAGGUGGCCAGUCUCAGGUCUUAGGUCCCCGAGGCCAGCAAACCGUGGGGGCUUUCUCCUGCUGUUUGAGUGGCCCGCUGCCCGCAGCCGUCCGCAGGCAGCUGACACCACUUGCCUGCUUGCGCCCCAUCGUGGGUGCCCCCGGCCCAAGGGAACCUUCCUCAUUCUUCCUCAUUCUUGCCAUUGGCCAGGGAUGGAAGCCUGUAGGGACCUCCACGGGCUUCUUGUGAGACCCUCCCUGGUGGCAUGCCCUGCGACGAGGCUUCCCUUCUUUUGACGGCCUCGCCUGUCUUCCCUUGGACGAGAAGUACCCUGUUGCGCAGCCCAGGCCUGGCCACGGCCGCCUCCUCUUCAGCAUCCUGCAGCAGCCUCUCCUCUCCUUGCUCUGGCUUCUGUUGUCUUUUGCGUUUGCUAACGUGCUCUUUGAACCAGAACAGCUUUCUCCAUAUGAAUCCAUCGUAUUUCUUCAAAUAGUUUUCUGGGUUGUUCGCCAACAGGGGCAGGGUUAGUGGAGCAGGGCUGUGUUUCACCAGCAGGCAUCCUGGGGGGUGCCCAAAUCCCCCACGGGUCUUCCGGAUGAGCAGGAACUCAGUUCAGAAACGCCCUGGAGCCUGGCUCUGGGCUUGUGGGGAGGGGUUUGUUGGGAUCACAGGAUGGAGCCAGGCCUGCUGCCGCGAGCGGGGCUGGGUGUAGCUGGCUAGCCAGGAACAUGCCGGAGUGGGGAGCACUCUUGACUACUUGCCGUCUUUUAAUGAUUGGGGUUACUGUACGUUUCUAAUUCACUAAUAAUUUUACUAGAAACAGACCUUUUUGUAUAACUUCCUCCCAAAGAGACCAAAGAUGCAGGGAGUUUGGCUUCGUACUUAUUUUGACUUUGUGGUUAUAUGAAUUGGGCUCAAGGGGUCUGGGCUGCGUCACGAGAGUGGGUCCCUUACGUGCGCACAGCCCUGCUGUCACCUCCAGACACAGCACAGAAAGGGUUUAACUGGCUGCUUUCCACGAGCCUGGCACUUGCGCAUCAGUUACCGUGAGCAGGUCCCAGGAGGGUCUGCCUGUGCCCUCGUGUCUUGACGCGUGGCUGGCUCUGUAGCCCCUGAACCAUGGUACAGGAGCCGAGAGUGCUCCCCAUGCUGGGUGCUGACUGGACUUGGACGGCCUCGCCCCAGCGCCUGGCUGACAAAGACUAGGGAAGGGGCCUGAGUGCUUUUUGUUUUAAAGAAAGUAAAGUGUCUAGUGGUUUGGGAUCUUUGUGGGCAGUGAAGGUGUCCUGAGCGGGCUGAGCAGUCACAGUCCUGAGUCCAGCUGCUGCUUCUCAGUACACGGCCUUGGCGGCACCUGGGUGUGGCCGUUGUAGCCACCAGCCCCCAAGGUGGCCAUGAGCAGUGUCUCCUUCCAUGGUGAGCUGUGGCAGGAAUCCACAGCUGGCUCUUAGACCCUCGUUUUCCAUAUGAGGAAAUACGACGUGGGCUCUAACAGCAGGGAGGAGUCUCCAGAGAGAGCUGGUUUGGGGGUGUGUUCUCUCCAAAAGAAGUCUCUUGGCCUCUGCUCCUGGACACCCUGGGGGGCCUUCCUGAGGGGCAUGUUGAGGGCUCCCCACCUCCAGGGCAGGCCCCCUCCUUCGUCACCAUCUCACGGGAAGGCUUUGGCCGUGUCCCCUUCCUGCCAGACUCUGCCAGCGCCAGCACACGUGGUGGCUGUGACCGGCAGUCCCUGUUUUGAAUCCCAAGGGGGAAUACAGGAGGCUCAGUUGCUCUGAGCGCCUCACCUGUUUGCUCAGGUGACCUGGAGAGACAGUCACCGUGGGCAGUGACUCAUCCCCGGCCAGUCUUCCUCCUCGGGCCGUCGCUCUUCCCUGUUCUUUCUGCUCCUCUCAGGAGACCUUGCGCCCUGGGGAGACGGGAGGAGGCAGCAGGAAGGUCUCCCAGGACUUGCUGGCCGUGGCUGGGUGUGGAUGGGUGGAGGACCACGUGGCAGCCUGCCUGUAGGUCACAGAGGCCCCCAUAGUUGUAGGACCCCGCCCCAGCCCGGACUCCGCCUGCGUCUGUUCCCUCUUCUCCCCUCUCUUCUCGGGCUGUUGGUGUUCGGCCAGGGCUCUUUGGCCACAGUAGCCUGGGCCCUAAAGGCCAUCUAGUUGCUGAGUCUGUUUGGGGUUUUUACUUUGUGAGAAGAAGGCCUCGUCAUUCCAACAGUCGAUGACUCGCUUUGAUCAACCCCUGCCCAGGACUAGGCCUGAGCCCUGUCGUCGUACCGGCGAGGAUGUGCGUCUCCCCUGCCUGCAGGCUGUGCCCUGAGACCCAGUUGUGGGGCUGCCCAGCACCUGCCAUCCUGCUGGGAGUCAGGUUUUCUUAGUGCUUGAGAAGACUCAGGAGGGCCUGUCCCAUGCCCUUGUUGGCCUUAAGAGCAAGUGAUUCCAGAAGAGGAGUGGGCGCCACUCUCAUCCAGAGGCCCGUCCCGAGAGGCAAGUGAGGCUGUGCUCCGUGCCUGGGCUCCCCCAGGCGGCACCUGUCGGUCUGUGGACCUGGUUGAGGCAAGGACGCCCAUCUGGACAUGGAGCCGACACAGGUAGUCAGGGGGCCGGCGGGACACUUACCAACAGCUGUCUUUUCCCCACCUCAGAAUAGCAUUCCUUUCGAACACCACGGCAAGUAGCUGCUCGUCUCCCAUCGGAAGGCAGCACUGGAUUCCUGGUCGGGUGGCUUCCAGUGGUCUUCAGUCUGUCGUGCACCGAUGAGAACUCUCCUUAUUGCUCUGAAGGGCAGACAAUGCAUGGCUGAUCUACUCUGUUACCAAUGGCUUUACUAGUGACGCGUCCCCCGGUCUAGGAUCGAAAUGUUAACACCGGGAGCUCUCCAGGCCACUCACCCAGCGACGCUCAUGGGGGAAACAUACUAAACGGACAGACUCCAAGAGCUGCCACCGCUGGGGCUGCACUGCGGCCCCCCACGUGAACUCGGUUGUAAUGGGGCUGGGAAGAAAAGCAGAGAGAGAAUUGCAGAGAAUCAGACUCCCUUUCCAGGGCCUCAGCUCCCUCCAGUGGUGGCCGCCCUGUACUCCCUGACGAUUCCACUGUAACUACCAGUCUUCUACUUGGUUAAGACAGUUUUGUAUCAUUUUGCUAAAAAUUAUUGGCUUAAAUCUGUGUAAAGAAAAUCUGUCUUUUUAUUGUUUCUUGUCUGUUUUUGCGGUCUUACAAAAAAAUGUUGACUAAGGAAUUCUGAGACAGAUGCUGGCUUGGAGUUUGUGUAUGAGGUGGAGUCAGGCAGGAAGAAGGUGCAGGCGGAUCUCAAGGGUGUGUGCUGUGUUUGUUUUGCAGUGUUUUAUUGUCCACUUUGGAGAGGAGAUUUCUCAUCAGAAGUCCGUGGUGUGUGUGCGUGCCCGUGUGUGGUGGGACGUCUUCAACCUGAUUUUGGCGUCUCACCCUCCCUCCUCCCAUAAUUGACAUGCCUGCUGUCAGGAACUCUUGAGGCCCUCGGAGAGCAGUUAGGGACCGCAGGCUGCCGCGGGGCGGGGGUACGGUGGGUGUUACCAGGCAAAGCACUGCAUGCUUCUUCCCCAGGAAGUGGGCAGGCAGCUGAGAGCUUGGAAGCAAGGGCUUUGAGACCCUAGCAGGACAAUUGGGAGUCCCAGGAUGCAAGGUGGAAGAUGUGUUUCUGGUCCCUUGGGAGAGGAUUGUGAACCGAGAGGUGGUUACUGUAGUGUUUGUUGCCUUGCUGCCUUUGCACUCGGUCCAUUUUCUCAGCACUCGAUGCUCCUGUGCGGAUUGGCCCUCGGUCUGUGUGAAUGCCUGUGCUUAAAACCAGGAGCGGGGCCGUCCUUGCCAGGUGCCAAGACUAGCUCAGAAAAGCUGGCAGGCCAGAAGGACCCACCCUGAGGUGCCAAGGAGCAGGUGACUCUCCCAACCCGACCCAGAACCUUCACGGCCAGGAAGUAGAGUCUGCGCUCUGUGACCUUCUGUUGGGUGCGUGUCUGUUGGUCAGAAGUGAAGCAGCAUGCAUGGGGCCGAGUCCCACCAGAAGGCAGGUGGCCUCCGUGAGCUGGUGCUGCCCCAGGCUCUAUGCUGCUGUGCCCUGAGGUUCCCAGGAUGCCUUCUCGCCUCUCCGCAGCACUUGGGCGGUAGAGCGGCCAUGUGCUCCCAACCCCGAUGCGCAGUGCGGUCUGUGUUCGUGGGCACUUCGACUGGACCCCAUCACGAUGGACGAUGUUCCCUUUGGACUCUAGGGACCCGAAGGUGUGCACCUUGGUUCUUCCUUCUCCUCCCCAGAGCUCCCCGGACGCCAUAACUGGCUGGUGUCCCAGAACACAGUUGUUCACCGCCCCCCCUCAGCUGGCUGGCCAUCUGCCUGAGCCCAUGGAUGCUUUCUGAAUCCUAGGCUGGUCACUGUGUAAGCAUUUUGGAGUACGGGGCCUUGAGCGGGUGGGAGCUGUGUGUUGAAGUACAGAGGGAGGUCGGGAUGGGUCAGAGCCGAGUUAAGAGAUUUUCUUUGUUGCUGGACCCCUUCUUGAAGGUAGACGUCCCCUACCCGGAGAGACGUUGCGGCUGUGGCCUGAAGUGGCGCAAGCUUGCUUUGUAAAUAUCUGUGGUCCCGAUGUAGUGCCCAGAACGUUUGUGCGAGGCCGCUCUGCGCCCAGGUUCCAGCCCGAGCCUUGCCGAGUUGCGUCUUCGGAGUGUGCUUGUGACAGUCCUUGCCCAGUAUCUAGUCCCCGUUGCCCCCUGCAGGAAACGUAGGUAGGACGUCGUGUCAGCUGUGCACUGGCGGCCAGUCUCCGAGCUGUGCGUUUGUAUCGCCACUGUAUUUGUGUACUUUAACAAUUGUGUAAAUAAUAAAUUCAUAAUGACUUCU
rnacentral:sRNA from 1 species